rnacentral:tmRNA from 1 species
GGGGCUGACCGGUUUUGACAGCAGGCAGAGUCGGAAAGUAAGCAUGCCGAGCAUUGUGUGGUGGCUCGUUAAUCUCAACGCUCAAACGUAUAAAUGGCAAUAAUAGCUAUGCACUCGCUGCGUAAUCU